rnacentral:rRNA from 1 species
GUUUAUGGCCAUGCUACCCUGAACAAACCUGAUCCCAUCUGAUCUCAGAAGCUAAGCAGGGUUGGGCUUGGUUAGUACUUGGAUGGGAGACCACCUAGGAAGACCAGGUGCUGUAGGCG